UACGGAGGGUGCAAGCGUUAUCCGGAUUUACUGGGUUUAAAGGGUGCGUAGGUGGGCAGGUAAGUCAGUGGUGAAAUCUCCGGGCUUAACCCGGAAACUGCCAUUGAUACUAUCUGUCUUGAAUUUCCUGAAGGUAAGCGGAAUAUGUCAUGUAGCGGUGAAAUGCUUAGAUAUGACAUAGAACACCAAUUGCGAAGGCAGCUUGCUACGCGGAUAUUGACACUGAUGCACGAAAGCGUGGGGAUCAAACAGG
rnacentral:rRNA from 1 species